UUUCCUUUUCUUCAAGCAUCCGCGCCUCCCUCCCCCUUUAAUUUCUUUUUCCUUUACCGAGGCCCUAUCUCUAGCCACCAUCGACGCCACACCUGCACCGCGUCGCUCCCGCCGUCGACCUCGACCAGCAAUCCGAUCUCAUCGUCGUCCAGACGCCGCCGAUCCGACCCUAGCCACUCGCCGCCGAGGUUUUUCCGGGCCGACGCCCACCGUUCGGCGAGGCCCGACCGCGUGCGAACCCCCCUGACGGUCGUCGCUUCCAAACGCAUCAGUAGUCGUUCCGGCGCUUUGCAACACGCAUCGUCGUCCAGAUCUGCUAGCCGCUGGUCAUCGUCAUUGCUCUAGUCGCUACCGCGCGCUCUGUCGCCCUUUGUCGAGCGCCGCCCCCGUGGCUUCACCGAAUCUUGAAAAUAAAUCAGUUGGGCUUUGGAUUCAAGUUUUGGAGAAGUUUUGAAUUUAGAAGCGAACGACUUGAGUUUCAUUCUGACGAUAAUUUUUGGUGUUAGUACUUUAAGGUGAUCGGGAUCUCAUUCAAAAGUUGUGGAAAGCUAGAAAGGAGUUUGUUCGCUUGGAUUAAUUUUUGGACUUUAUUUGAGUUGGCUCAAGACAGAAAUCUCAUAUUCAACGUAAACUUGAAAAUUUUGAGGAAGCUCCCUGAAAGCUUGAAGAUAGAGGUACAACGACAAACAUCCACCUGACGUUUUGCAGCAAAAUCCUCUUGGAUAAUGGAGUAUUUUCCUCGAGGAAAUAGAUCAUUAAUAUAAAUAUGUAACUAUUUCACUAAGGUUAAAUUAUAAAAGAAAAUGUCCUUAAACUUUUCCACUUGUUUAAAAAUUAUUAGACGUAUUUAAAUAAUAAUACGUAUAAUUAAAAUAUAAACGAUGUAUAUAGAUUAAUAAUUUAUCAUUUUAUUAAAUUGAAUCACAUAUGUGAUCUAAUUAAUGAAGGCUUUGGAUUCUUAUGGACUUAGGUUUCCAAUUGAACUAGUAUAUAAAAAGACCUUAGGACUAUGGUCCCUUAUAUACCAAAACAAUAUAACGUAGAGAGAUCCCACUAAGGACAUUCGGUGUUUUAGUUGAGGAAGACCAUAUUCUUUCAAUGGAAUCUGAUAUGUAUAUAUACUUGACAAUUUGGUAUGAAUGAUCUUAUGGUUUAUCUUUUCAAUAUAGAUUUAAAGUAAUUAUGUUAAUAAGUGAUAUCGGAGCAAGAUUUUCACGUUAGAUUGUUGGUUUAUGUUCGUUUUCUAUAAGUAUUGUGAUACAAUUUUGAUUUUGGUUAAAGUAUUUAAAGAUGAUUUAAUUAAAGAAAGGGGAGAAAUCUCCCCGUCGCGACGCGAGCAACACAACAAAAGGAACCCUUAACGUUGGUUGCAGAUUUCAUCGGUGAUGGUUGCAGAUUUCAUCGACGAUGGUUGCCACAUCUGAAGGCUCUUGUGUAGGCAAUUGAUGAAUCUUGCUGGCUUAUCCAAUCCACUGAAUUCAAUUUUUUUAAAAAAAUUUUAUUGCGUUGAAUUUGAUAGUUUCUUAAAUAGAUUGAAUUCAGUUGUUAUUUUCUUUAAAUAGUUUGAUAGUAUUGAAUUUAUCAAUCAUUUGGAUUAAUUUCCAAUUGAGGGUCUCGCCUGCCGAUUGAAUUUCUUAUUUGAUGUUUCUAAGUUUUCUUGAUUAAUAAUUUGAUAAAAUUCUUAUCGAUGUCUCUUGGUUUUUGAUUGAUAAAUUUAUCGAUUUCAAUCUAAAGUUUGAUUGAUAAUUCAAGUUUAAGUUAGAUUAAUCAUAUUGUGAAUUUAGGUUCAAUCAUUUGUGGAUUUAAGUUUAUAUUUAAAUUUGAUUGAUAAUAUGAUAAAAUUAAAUUUAAAUUUGGUUGAUCUUUUAGUGAAUUUAAAUUUAAAUUUGAUAAAUAAUAUUUGGUGAUAUUCACAUGUUUAUGUUGCUUUAAAUGUAUUAUGUGUGUGCAUUGGGUGAAUUUUGAAACGAUAUAUCGUAUUAUUCUUCUAUUAUUUUGUACAAUAAUAUUAUUAUAUUAUUGUGUCUUAUAUUUUAGAUUGAAUUGGAUAAAUAAUAUGUUACCAAAGUAGCAUCUGUUAUCUAGAUUAAUUUAAU